rnacentral:rRNA from 1 species
GACGAACGCUGGCGGCGUGCUUAACACAUGCAAGUCGAACGGAAAGGCCCUGUUUUGGUUGGGUGCUCGAGUGGCGAACGGGUGAGUAACACGUGAGUAACCUGCCCUUGACGUUGGGAUAACUUCAGGAAACUGGGGUUAAUACCGGAUAGGAUCUCCUGCUGCAUGGUGGGGGUUGGAAAGUUUCGGCGGUUGGGGAUGGACUCGCGGCUUAUCAGCUUGUUGGUGGGGUAGUGGCUUACCAAGGCUUUGACGGGUAGCCGGCCUGAGAGGGUGACCGGCCACAUUGGGACUGAGAUACGGCCAAGACUCCUACGGGAGGAAGCAGUGGGGAAUAUUGCACAAUGGGCGGAAGCCGGAUGCAGCAACGCCGCGUGCGGGAUGACGGCCUUCGGGUUGUAAACCGCUUUCGCCUGUGACGAAGCGUGAGUGACGGUAAUGGGUAAAGAAGCACCGGCUAACUACGUG